GUGCUUGCUUCAGCAGCACAUAUACGAAAAUUGGAAUUAUACAGAGAAGACUAGCAUGGCCCCUGUGCAUGUAGAAAUAGAAGUAUAAUGAUGUACACCUAAAAUUU